GCUCCCGUAGCUCAGGUGGAUAGAGCGAUAGUUUCCUAAACUGUGCGCACAGGUUCGAGUCCUGUCGGGGGCA
rnacentral:tRNA from 1 species